GGAUUGUGGCUCAGUGGUAGAGUCCUCGCCUAGUAUGUGCGAGGCCCUAGGUUAGAUCCUCAGCACCA
rnacentral:tRNA from 1 species